rnacentral:rRNA from 1 species
CGCCUCCUGACUACUAAUUAUAGGAGGUCCCGCCUGCCCUGUGAUCAUGUAUUUAACGGCCGCGGUAUCCUAACCGUGCAAAGGUAGCGCAAUCACUUGUCUUUUAAAUGAAGACCUGUAUGAAUGGCAUAACGAGGGCUUAACUGUCUCCCUUCCCCAGUCAAUGAAAUUGAUCUCCCCGUGCAGAAGCGGGGAUAGUUCUAUAAGACGAGAAGACCCUGUGGAGCUUUAGACACAAAGAUGGCUCCUGUAAAGAAUACUCACACCAAGAGCACAAACAAAAGGAAAAUCCACCUUGCUGUCUUCGGUUGGGGCGACCACGGGGUAAUAACCAACCCCCGAGAGGAAUAAAAGAACUUUUUUAAACCUAGAGCGCCAGCUCAAAGUACCAGAACAUCUGACCUAUAUGACCCGGCUUUUAAGCCGAUCAACGAAACCAGUUACCCCAGGGAUAACAGCGCAAUCCUUUCCCAGAGCCCAUAUCGACGAAAGGGUUUACGACCUCGAUGUUGGAUCAGGACAUCCUAAUGGUGCAGCCGCUAUUAAGGGUUCGUUUGUUCAACGAUUAAAGUCCU